rnacentral:snRNA from 1 species
GGAUAUGAGGAUGAUCUGGCUGCGACAUCUGUCACGUUAGCGAUGGCCAGGGUUGAUUUGGCUGAGUUGGCUGGUGAGGCAGCUGUUCCCUCUUCCUUCUUCACUGCUCCCUUUGACCCUGAUUCACUCCAUUUUAUAUCAUGCAAUAUUUUAACUGCUACACAUAUUUAUUGUAGUUUUAGGUAAGCUUGACAUAAUGUACUGUUAUAUUUCACCAAAGGUACAGAUUUUAAGAAAAAGCAAGUUUUGCCUUGCAGUUAUAUUUCAUUGUUAGGCACAUCCAACAUUAAUUUGAGGCUUAUGAAUAUGGCAAACAAAUGUCUUCCUAC